rnacentral:rRNA from 1 species
UACGGAGGGAGCUAGCGUUGUUCGGAAUCACUGGGCGUAAAGCGUACGUAGGCGGUUAUUCAAGUCAGAGGUGAAAGCCUGGAGCUCAACUCCAGAACUGCCUUUGAAACUAGAUAGCUAGAAUCACGGAGAGGUAAGUGGAAUUCCGAGUGUAGAGGUGAAAUUCGUAGAUAUUCGGAAGAACACCAGUGGCGAAGGCGGCUUACUGGACGUGUAUUGACGCUGAGGUACGAAAGCGUGGGGAGCAAACAGGAUUAGAAACCCCCGUAGUCC